AUGGAGGGAAUCCAGAAGACGCUGGAAGAGUUGCUGACCAAGUUCUCAUCGCUGUCGACCGAGGUUCAGCAUUUGAGCAGUCAGGUGACCGAGUUCGGCGACGGCCUGGAUGCGGUCAAGCGAACGCAAGCCACGGAAGCGGCGGCGCGUGUGGCCGCGUCGUCCUCGACGGCACCCACCGCAGCGAUGCUGGUGCACAAAGGGCCUCCGCUGAUCCACCCACCACCGCCCCCUCCACCGCGUCGGGAGGCACACCAGGAGCGCCACCACGCCCUGCCUCCUCCACUGCAUCAAGAGGAACACCAGGAGCGCGACAACUACAGACACAAGCCGCCGAAGCAUGAUUUCCCUCGUUUAAGUGGUGACGCACCGCGGCUAUGGUUCGAUCUCUGUCACACAUAUUUUGAGCUCUAUCAAACACCUCCGGAGCAGUGGGUGCACACGGCAGUGUUGUACAUGGAGGGGCACACCGCGCUCUGGUGUCAAGCUCACAAGCGUGUCCAUGGUCUCGGUGAUUGGUUCGCAUUCACUGCUGCAGUGCAAGCCGAAUUUGGCCAGGAUGAAUUCGAUUCUCUCCUGCACCGCCUGCAUCAUCUCAAGCAAACUUCCACAGUCUCUGAAUACAGACUCUCCUUCGAAGCCAUUAUGUACCAUCUGAUUGCCAUGGAUCCUUCUCUUCAUCAGAAGUUUUUCGUGUCCCACUUCAUCAUUGGACUACGCGAUGAGUUGCGUACAGGGGUGCGACAACACGCGCCCACAAGUGUGUCCAGAGCAGCAGCCCUCGCACGGAUUCAGGAAGAGGAGUCAGAGCACAGCCGACCACGGGGUCGACCAGCAGUUUACGCGCGGCCCCUGCCACCCCCACCCGUUCCUGUGGUUGCCGCCGGCCCCGUCCAACCGCACAAUGAGGGAGCCAAGCGGGGCCCGGAUGACUUCGGUCGUGAGCGACAACUACGGGAGUUCCGGCGAGCAAAUGGCUUGUGUUUUAAAUGCGGCGACAAGUAUACACGAGACCACAAGUGUAAUAAGGUGGGUCAGUUACUGACAAUUGAGAUUGGUGAUCAUGGUGAGCUAUUGUCAGAUGAUGCCAUACGCGCCCUCGAGCUGCUCGAUGACAAUCCAGAAGAAGAUGUCGCUUGCUGUCAAAUUUCAGUCCAUGCGGUCGCAGGAACAGAAUCAACAGGCACAAUGAGGUUAAGAGCAUUGGUUGGCAAUCAGGUGAUGUUACUGCUAGUGGAUUCUGGCAGUACACACACGUUCGUUAAUUCUUCAUUUGCAGAGCGUGCUGGCUGUACAAUUCAGGAAACUGCACCAGUGACAGUUAAAGUAGCAAAUGGCGAGACACUACAGUCCACACAGCAGGUAUCUCAGUUGACAUGGUGGUGUCAGGGGCACACUUUUAGCACGGACAUGCGCCUGCUUGAGCUGGGGGCAUAUGAUGCAGUGUUGGGAGUCGAUUGGCUCGCACGAUACAGUCCCAUGAAUUGUCACUGGGGCCUCAAGACAAUGGAAUUCAGACACGACAAUGUUAACAUCAGAUUGCAAGGCGUGCGCACUCCGACAGAGCCAACCCUCACUGAGAUGCGAGCAGAGCAACUUUCCAAGUGGAUUUUAGGCAAUGAUGUGUGGGCAUUGGCUGUGAUUCAAACUGCCGAGCACUCUGCAGCAGCGGACCAACAAGUGAAUCCACAAUUGCAAGCUAUCCUUGAUGAAUAUGCUGAUGUUUUCCAGGAACCCAAAACCUUGCCGCCGCACCGUGAUUUUGAUCAUGCAAUUCAUCUCGAGCCUAGCUCCUCUCCUCCAAAUGUCAGGCCCUACCGGUAUUCACCACUACAAAAAGAUGAGAUCGAGCGUCAGGUAGCUGAGAUGCUUCAGACAGGUCUGAUCACAACAAGCAUUAGCCCCUUUGCUGCACCUGUUCUGCUCGUGAAGAAAAAGGAUGGUACAUGGCGUUUCUGUAUUGAUUACCGUCGCCUAAAUGACAUCACCAUUAAGAACAAGUUUCCGCUGCCUGUCAUUGAUGAACUACUCGACGAGCUGGCGGGUGCCCGUUUCUUCUCCAAAAUUGACCUGCGCGCAGGCUAUCACCAAAUUUGA
rnacentral:rRNA from 1 species